GCGGUUAAGAGCACCGACUGCUCUUCCAGAGGCCCUGAGUUCAAAUCCCAGCAACCACAUGGUAGCUUACAACCAUCUGUAAUGAGAUCUGAUGCCCUCUUCUGGGGUGUCUAAAGACAGCUACAGUGUACUCAUAUAAAUAAAGUAAAUGUUAAAAAAAAAAACUCUUUUUAAAAAAGAGAGAGAAAAGGUAUGGGACACAAUUCUAGAGUCUCCAGAGGAGGCCCAACCAACACCUUAAUUUCAAACUUCUGACUCCAUGGACUGUGAGACAACAAGUUACUUCUCUUGCUCUAAAGCAGCAAGUUUGUGUCGGUUUGUCCCAGCAGCCUCUGGAAAUGGAUGCAGUUAACUAAGGUCUUUAUCAGCUUCCGUUUCCACAAUCACGCCUACUUGAGUAUUUAAUCUGAAGAUGAACAAGCACAAAGCUGAAAAGAGCAUCGGUCCUAUGGAACUUUGCAAACCAUGAGGAUUGCACACGCAUGCUAAGAAGUGCAGGAAACACCACAGCGUUGCUACGUGUGUGUGUGUGCACAGGAAGAACAUGACCACUGUUUCCUGGGGUGGUUGCAAAACUGUUCAAAGGGAAGGGCCUGCAGGUGGGAAGAUGUUUACUGGACACUCUGUGGGGGAUGGGGAGCAUUCUCAGAGACUGGUAACAUACGGAGGUAUGAAACCUUGUAGCGGCUGUGUGACUGGAUGUGUUUGAAGCUUGCCUGAUGAGAUUCCAAAGUAGGUAUGAUGACGAAAACUGCUAAGGCCAUAUUCCACAGGGUCACAUUGACCAAGACAACCUAUGUGGACUGCGUUCUCUGCUGACACAGAGGGGUUUUAAGCAAGGUGCUAACGUGAUCCCAUCUGUUUUUUCAGGAUUACUGUGGAAGAGGCAACAGGCUGCCCUGGAGAUAGAAAACCUCAGGAAGCCAGUUCUGAGAAGGAUGAGUGAUUGGUGUUUUACAUCUGAACAUGGGCCCAAAGCAACAGAGCCAAAUGACCAUGGACCAAAACCUUGAGCUGUCACCUUCCUUCUUUUAAAGAGCAUCGCUUCAGCUCACUGUAGAAAAUAUGGUGCUCGAAGUGAAAAAUGGCCCAAUCCAAGAGUCUUGACAUUGGCAGUGGGUGGAAGAUGGUUUCCCAGUUCUGGUAAAUGGGGCCGGAAGCUUUUUCUACCUGUUGCAGCUUCUCAAGUACGUUUCCUCUUUUUCGCUAGUUGUAACUCUGCCAUAGACCAGGCCAAAACAGAUUCAGAAUUUCUGUCAAAUAACUAUGCUAGUUAUUUUUCUGUGGUUACAAUAAAAUGCUGUGACCAAGAUGACUUAUAAAAGAAAGAGUUCAUUUGAGCCUCUGGUCUCAGAGGAUUAGAAUCCAUCACAGCAGAGAAGUAUGACAGGAGGCAGCAUGGUGGCCAGGAGUGGAAGUGGAGGCUCACAGUAUUUACCUCACACAUGAGGGCAGGGAAAGCAAACUAGAAAUGGCACAAGUCUUGUAAACUCUCAAAGCCUACCUCCAAUGACAUACUUCCUUCAAUAAGGCCACACCUCCAAAACCUCCCUGUGAUAGCCAAUGUUGGUUGUCAUUUUGACUAUACCUGGAAAGUGCUAUAAUCCAGAAACAGAGGGCACACCUGUGAAAGAUUUGAAGUGGGUGGAUCGAUCUCUAGUCUGGACUUUUGAGGUAGAAAUACACACUUUUCACGUGGAUCUUGAGGCAGGAAGAGCUACAUUUAAUCUGAGCCAUACCUUCUGCUGGGAGCCUAUAUAAGGACGUGGAAAAGGAACCUUUUGCUCUGUGCCUUUGUCUUGCUUGCCGUUAUCUUCCUAGCAUAACCAUUCCUUCACUGGCUUUGGAAUAUACUUCUUUUGGAUUCCAACAUGUGCAGAAGACCCACCGAGACAUCCAGCCUUGUCAGACUGAGCAACUACUAGAUCCUAGGACUUUCUACUCAUAGUGAACCAUUGUUGGGCCACCACCUGUAAACUAAUCUAAUAAAUUCCAUAAUUAUGUAUGAACUAUUAUAUAUUAUGUAUAUGGAAUUACAUGUGUACACACACACACACACACACACACACAUUAAUACACUCCCCUAACAGCACCUCUGUUUUACUUUCUGCCUAUUGCUGUAACAAAACAUCACAACCAAUGACCAAGACAACUUACAGAGCAAGUACGUAGUUGGUUUAUGGUUUCUGAGGGUUAGAGUCUAUAACGGCAAAGCAAACAGUGGUAGGAACAGCUGAGGAGUCUCAGUUUGACCUACAAGUAAGAAACCUCCAAGAAGUCUCACUACCUCGCAUAAAUGUACCUGAGAGAUCUUCCUGAAACGUCUGUUUAACCUUGACACCCAAUGACUCAAAAAUUUGUGGCAACUGAUCUUGCUUUCAAAAGAGCAAAGUCACCCCAAUUUCUAAUUUCCAAUCCCAUACUCUAGUUGUUAAUUACUCUACAACUUCACCAUCCUCACUCCCCAGAGGUGCCUUCUUCCUUCUUGAGCAUACCAACUGCUAGUGCUUUCUCUCCUUGAGUGCCCGCUUCCCAUCUCUACCAGAACAUAUGCCCUACUUCCACGUUCCUUUCUUUGCCCAUCAAUUCAUCGUAUGACAUAUGUUUCUAUCCAGCAAAUGGCGUGUGGUUGGUUGGUUGUUGGUUUUGGAUAUGUCUUCUGUUCUAUACCAACGAUCUGUAACAUUCAAGAGCCUGUCCUGGAAUUUUUAGGAUUCAAAGACUUGCAUAAUAGAAAAUAAAACUCCCACAUAAGUCAUUUUAUUAUGUGUUAACAGAAUACAAGUUCUGUAAACACUAGAAAGUAAGGAAGUCAAGGAGAGAAAUAUUCCUGGCAUCUGCUAGAAUCGGAGGGAAAACGUCUUGUAAAAGGCAACAUUUGACCUAGUUCCUGAAGUUUAGGCAGCAUUCUACAAUAUCUUAAAUAGUUAAGAUAUAUCUUCUCUAAGAGAUAUUUUGACUGUGUACGUCGUAUUAAGUAAAUUAAUCAAUUAAAGUAAAAAUGGAAUCAAGCCACAAGGUGGUCCUCGGAAGUCAUCCAGUCCCGUGAGAGAAGGAAAGAGAAGCUUAGGUGGAUGUUCUCAAUUUACACGGCUCUCUGACCACUUCCUUUGGAUUUGUUAUUCGGCUCUGCCUAGUCCUUCUAUCCCAAGUUAGCAGAGUGUGGUAUAGUGCUGUGCCAUUCAAAGCAUGGUAUGCAGAGAAGCCAACUGCGUCACAGACAUCGUCUUCCAGAGCCUAUAACUCUCACCUGCCCUCAGAAAUCCCCCCUUUCCAAGGGGACCAAAAUAUCCCAGUAUGAAACCCUAUAGGAAUGCAAGAAUGUCUUGAUGGCAGCUGCACAAAUUAUGGCAUUUGUCCUGUUUUUGACGAGUCCAGACAAACAACCACACACAAUGUCCAUACUACAGGAAGAAAUACAAAAUCUCACUCUCAAGGAGGUGUCAAAAAUCAUAAGACAGUACAGGAGCAAAUGGACCCUGGGCCAGGGCCUUCUGCCCAGAUUCUAGUACGUCAGCUCAUCGAGCACUGGUUUGAUGCUGGAUGGCAAUGUUCCCCUGGUCUACAACACUCUGCACUGCACAACUCUGGUCUCUAUGGUUACAUAGGCUGGAUCCACUCAUCUGCCUGCUAUGGGCAGCACUCACCUCCUAAGCCACAGACCUUCCAGGUGCUCCAGGAAGAGGCUAUAAAUAUUCAUCAAGAGAGCAAGCUCCUGCUUGAGAAUGUUGUGACAGUUGAAGCAACACACAAUACAGAAAUUGCUUCCGCUGAAGAGGGAGACAUCUUCUCUCUGCAUGAGGCCUCUGCCCACAAUGUAAUUUCCUGCAGAGGGGGCAAAGAAGGCGAGUAAGUGCCCAGAGCAGAAAAGCAAACCAGUGAGGUUCUUUGUAAUGAAUACAUUGAUGAGGUCUCAUUAAAGUAAAUAAAGUCCCUAUAAAAUGCUAGGAAAUUUCUUUCAAAAUAGCCCAUAAAUUAACCUUAAAGGGUUUCUAGGCCUGAAAGCCAAGGCUAUGAAUAUAAUUAGAAGACACUAAAAGAAUCCAGACCAAGUCUGAGAAAGGGUCUAAGUGCUGUGGAGUCAGAGAAAUGCAGACAGAGGGCAAAAGAAUGAAGGUUAAUUCAUCUUAGAAAGGAAGUUGAGUGCACAGUGAGUGCCAUGGGUACGGAUCUACAGACCCCCUCCAUUCUUCUUUGCGGUGAGGCCUCUUAAUGAGGAGAAGAAGAACAUGACUAGACUUAGCUGCUAGCUUUUAUUUAAUCCAGAACGAUUACAACUAUUGUCAGACUUGAGAUACUUCUCAACUAUUCCUACACUUAAAGAUACAGAAGAAAUACCAAGAAUAGUUCUCAGGGCUGGAGAGAUGGUUCAGUGGUUAAAAGCACUCAUUGCUUCUAAAGGUCCUGAGUUCAACUGCCAGCACCCAAAUGGCAGCUCGUAAUUUCCUGAUGCCACCUUUUAGUGUGCAGAUAUGUUUUCAGAAAAGUGCCCAUAUCUACAUAAAUACAUAAAUAAAUAUUCUUUAAAAUGAAUAAAACAUUUAAAAACAUAGUUCUCAAACCCUUGCAUUUUUAUGAAUGCAAACAUUAGGAAUUUAAGAUCAUUAUGUCAGCCCCUUCUAUUGGGACAUCAUGUUAUAGUUUGUGUUUCUAGAGCUUUUAAUGAUUUGCAGACAGCUUAUCUCAUGGGUAUCUCAUGCCAAGUUCAUGAGGUAGGUUAACUGAUGAUGAGAGAAUGAAAGGAAACAACACAAGCUCAGCUAAUGACCUGCAUGACUCAGGAGACCUUACUGAUCAAUGUUUCUUUGGAUCAUUCUGUCAAAGUGAAGCAUCAUGCCAGAGGACACAGUACAGUAGAUACUGGCUACACGAUGUACUUGCAUCCAGGACCCCACAUCUUAGCACAUCUAAAUGAUCUCAGUAGAAUUAGAUAAGAAAGAACUGGUGUUCUCCAGUCAUUCUGUGAACAUAUAGGCUUAAGGACUAUUGAACUCUACUUAAAGAAAUCUCUUGGAGCCAACUUCUCCCUGGUAAAAUUUAUCACAUUGUCACCAAUUUAUCACAUCUCACAGUGUCAAAGGUACAUGGAAAAUCUGCAGGUUCUUUUGAAGAGUCAUGUCUGUGCAAUGUCAAAUAAAACAUAGCUCUUCACAUAUGUGUAUAUGUGUGUCAGUAUCUGAUAAAACAUAAAAUGUCAAAGCUAUCCAUAUACAUACAAUGUCAUAUAUAUACAUAUACAUAUACAUAUAUAUAUAUAUACAUAUAUAUAAACAUACAAGCACAUACACAUGCAGGUCAGUUGAAAUUUAUGAAAGACGUAAUACUAACCUAUUUCUUCCAGUUUCAAGUGGACACAAAAAUAUUAGUAUUUGUCAUCCAGACACAUUUGUGAAAUUCAAUAAAUGUGCAAGUUUUAUGUUGGAAAGUAUUCAGUAAAUACUUAAGUAUAUUUCCAAAACAGUGGUACUCAGAUAGGAAGAGGGAAUUUUCUAAGUUGCUAACGUGCACUUUAAAACAUCAUUUUUAUAGAUGCGUACUCUGUGCUUGCUUUUCUUGUUAGUUGGCUAUUUUGAGACAGGGUCUCACUACGUAACAUACUCUGAGCAUGAAUUCUUGAUUCUUCUACCUCAGCACACUUCUGCCUCGGAGCUGGUUGAAAGCCAGGGGACACUACCUCUGGUGCUCCACAAAGCAGUCUUGUCCCCCCACUCCCCUCUCGUUCAUUCUUAGCCAAGAUACCAUGGGUGCUUCAUAUGUAGCUGAAGAAGACAUUCAGUUUCUGAUGCUUCUCCCUUCACCCCUCAUGUGCUGAGACAAAUGAUGUGAAUUACCAUGCCCAGUUUUAGGCACUGUAUUUUCACCCUUGACUCUGGGCUUUGCUUUGCCAUCUGCUUUGGGCAAUGGGAUAUCGAAAAACGUGACAUAUGUAGAAAGUGUGUGGGGAGAAGCCUUCAUUAUGGGAUACCUACUCCCUUUAGAUUUUACUACUGGGAAGUCUAGUGAACCAAGCCAAGCUUGCUGUAGAAUGAUACCACACAGAAGGAGACCAUAGCCAACCUUAUCACCCAUGUCUCCUAUAUGAGACCCUGUGUGUGUGUGUGUGUGUGUGUGUGUGUGUGUGUGUGUGUGUGUGUGUGUGUGUGUGUUGGUGUGUGUAUGUGGGUGUGUGGAGGGGUCACCCUAGACCAUCCCACUUCAGUCACAUUAGUCCACAGAAACAGAGAAAUAAUAAAUGUUUACUCAAGCCAUUGCUAUUUGAGUAUCUUUGUUUCUUUAGCAAAGGUUAACAGAUACAUAGAGCUAAAAUAGUCACUGUUAUAGAACUUUCCAGAAAAAUCUCUUCACCUGGGGAAAAGAAUUCUCUUACUCUACACCCUCAAAAUAUCUUCGAGCCCGAGUUUCACCAUAGCCCAGACUGAAAACUCAUGACUUCUGUUUCAGCUGGCCAAGAGUUAGGGUUACAGGCAUUCAUCAACACACCUAGCUGGAAAUAGCUAAUUCUAGUUUCAAAAGACCAUGAAGACAUCAAAACACUAUCUAGUCAUUCUGUGUAUUAUAAUGAAAAAUUGUUAUUUAUGAUUAAUGACAAGGAAAAUAUUAUACAUACAAUAGAAAGCAGGAGAACUUCUGAAAGCUUGAAACUUAAGGCUACUCUGGGCUAUAAGUGAGUUCAAAGCAGCUUGAGAUUCAUAGCACAUCUCUCUCUCUCUCUCUCUCUCUCUCUCUCUCUCUCAUACACACACACACGAAAGAAAGAAAGAAAGAAAGAAAGAAAGGAAGGAAGGAAGGAAGGAAGGAAGAAAGAAAGAAAGAAAGAAAGAAAGAAAGAAAGAAAGAAAGAAGGAAAGAAAGAAAUAAGAAACAAGCAAAACGGGGUUGGGGAUUUAGCUCAGUGGUAGAGCGCUUGCCUAGCAAGCGCAAGGCCCUGGGUUCGGUCCCCAGCUCCAAAAAAAAGAAAAGAGAAAAAAAAAAAAAAAGAAACAAACAAAACAAAGAGAGAGUCAGAAAUACAAAAACUACGAAAUACUGAGAAUAAAAACACACAGUUAUGACAUUACA